CAUGGAGUUAUUUUUGCCUUAAAAACAUAUUUUUCAUUUUCAAGGGUGCUGGAGAAAUGGUGAAUGAAGCCGCCCUGGCAUUGGAAUAUGGAGCGUCCUGUGAAGACGUAGCUAGAGUCUGCCAUGCACAUCCGACCUUAUCAGAGGCUUUUAGAGAAGCAAACUUGGCUGCGUCUUUUGGCAAACCAAUCAACUUUUAAUUAGAAGAUUGUUUUUCUUAAAACCUGGAAGAUUUUGUCAACAUUACAACAUUUUGAACAGGAUAAUCUCCCAGUUCUAAGAAUUUGUAGGAUGAAAUUAUGAAACUUCUGGAAGAUAUUUAGUAGGUUUGAACAGAAUGGAAUAACCGUGUAUACCUGUAUUUCAAGUAUUUUGUUCCAGUGCAUUAAUGCAAACAGAAAGCUACAUAUAGCAGCGUUCUGGAAAGUUUUUGACCCGUUUUCAUACGGUCUACGAGAUUCGACAUUACUGAAUUAGUAAUCACAGAUUUUACCUCUCAUUUAGUGGAGGUCAAUCUGUUGACAAGGAAGGAGCUGGAGAAUACAUGUGAACAACUUGAAGAAAACUGGCCAAGUUACUUUAAAUUUGGUUUUCAUAUUGGAAACGAGUCAGUGAC
rnacentral:lncRNA from 1 species